UGUUCAAAUAUAGAAAAAUUAAAAGUACAAUAAAGAUUCUACUGAUGAAGCUACAAAGAAACUGACACAUCAAAGCAUGCUCCUACUCAAUAAAACUAAUCAUUUAAACAGAUCGAAUAGUGAAGAAAACUAGCACUUUUAAAAAAAGUUUGAAUAAAAAGCUAAAGGUGAUGCAAACUAUGACAGUAUUUACAAAUCAAAGGCAUUGGGGGGAUUCAUUAAUUCAGUUGCUGACCUCUCCCUUGAGCAACAUUUCAUGCUGCUUCUCUCCAUCUGGAACUUCAACAGCCUUGAGAUAAUAAUCUUCUUGCAGCAGAUCAAAAGCUUUUGUUUCUGGGAAUUCACCACGCACAUAGCUUAAUAAUUUAUCAUAAGUGGCAUUAGAGAAAUGACCUUGUUCCAUUAGCGUAAGAAUUUCCAAUGCCAAAUCCAAAUUUCCCUUCUCUUUCACAUGAUCAAUGCAUGCAGCCAAAGUAGAUAGUAUGUUAACCAGUCCACAGUUACCACAGGAUCAGCUUCCAUUUGCAUUAGUAGCUUCUCCAUCCCAUUGAUGUCUUUAGCGGUCACAUAAGCAUUCAACCAAUUUCUAAGUGUAAAAAUGUCAUAUAUGUUCUUCGAAAUCAUUUCUUGCUUUAGAUUAUCAAAUUUCUCAUGAUC